ACCAGAACACCCUGAUACCAGCACAUUCCCCAGAGAUAACAGGAACAUAUUGACCCACCUAAAGAUAAGUUCGAUGGAGGUCUGCUGUGCCAACUAUCUGCACAGAGCUGGGACAGCACACAGAGAAAACCCACACACAGCCAUCAUCUGGUAACAUCUAUCAACACAUUUCUGAGAACUCAGCCUGCCUGCAAGAGACAGCAGCCAUGUUGUACUCACAACUGUUACAGUCUGACAAGGACACACACAGACGGUGCUCUCUCAUGGACAUAUAUUUUUGUUCUUUCUUGUUGCCAUUUCUUUAAUCUAAAAACAAAAGCC